rnacentral:rRNA from 1 species
AGAACGAACGCUGGCGGCAUGCCUAAUACAUGCAAGUCGAACGAACUCUUCGGAGUUAGUGGCGCACGGGUGCGUAACGCGUGGGAAUCUGCCCUUGGGUUCGGAAUAACAGUUGGAAACGACUGCUAAUACCGGAUGAUGACGAAAGUCCAAAGAUUUAUCGCCCAGGGAUGAGCCCGCGUAGGAUUAGCUAGUUGGUGAGGUAAAGGCUCACCAAGGCGACGAUCCUUAGCUGGUCUGAGAGGAUGAUCAGCCACACUGGAACUGAGACACGGCCCAGACUCCGUACGGGAGCAGCAGUAGGAAUAGUGGACAAGUGGGACGAAAGCCGUAGAUCCGAAGCAAGUGCCGCGUAGAGUGA